CUAAGGUUCGAUUCGAGCGCAAGCGAGAAAGCUUUGCCGCAGGCAACGACCCGAAGGGCGAAACGCGCAGCGCUGAGU
rnacentral:sRNA from 1 species